GCGGGCGCCCCCAGGGCUUGGUCCUCUCCUCUGCCUCGCCUCUCCUCCCCUCCCCUCCACCUCUUCUCCUCCCCUUUCUCUCCCUUCCUCUCUUCUCCCUUCCUCUUCUGUCCUUUCCUCUCCUCUCGUUUACCUUCCUGGGGCUUUGCCCCAAGUCCCCGUCCCGCACCUUUCGCUCGCUGGAUCUUUAUAGUCACCCAGAUAUUGCCUGACCUGAAUAUCUGGUAGUUGCUGGGGGACGGGGACACACCCCAUUCCUGCCUCUAUUUACCCCCAGGUCCCAAGGACCCCCGUGCCAGGGUGUUUGUCCCUUGUCCCUUUCGACCCAGCUCGGGUGUGAGGGUACCUAGAGGCCGGGAAAGCUGUCGCUGCUUUGGGUGUCCACCCACCUGCUGCCCUGGCCCUCCGGAUCUGGGGCAUUUACUCUCAUGGUCCAUCCUUUACGUACCCGUCCGGGUUAUCCGCCCCCGCCCCUUUCUGGGUAGACAGGGCUCUUUUGUUUUUCUCUGGGUGAUACCCAGAUUAAGGUGGGGGGCGGAGCUUUUCCCCGGGCAAACAGGAGCCCGUCUGUCCUCUGGGACCUAGAAGCACUCGUUUGUGGGCGCCUACUCCGCGGGCACGGCCCUAGGGUGUUGUAUACACAGACACCCCUACGGCCCGCUAGUGGGAUCAGCGUGGCGUCCGGACAUGUCAUCUUUUGUGGGGGAUGAGCCGGCGGCUUGUGUACCAUUUAUGCCUCCUUCGUGUUAAAUCUAGGCAGGGUUUUUCGACCCUUCCGUGCCUCAGUUUCCCCAUUUGUAAAAUGUGAUGAUAACACUGCCCUCUUUUCUGAGUGUUUGAGGGUCAGUGUUACCUGGCACUACCAGGUACCCACAAAACAAGAACGUCUAUUCAUUAAUUAUUGUUUUAAAUGAUUAUGUCUUAGUUAUUUUAGUAUUAUUUUAAAAUGAUUUUAUCAUUGCAUUUUCUAUAUUAUUAUUACUACCAUUGUUAUGUUUAGUAACACUUUGUCAGUAUUAUCUCCACCUGGUAUUUUCCCAGGGGGCCAUACAGGGCUAUUUAUCUGAAGGAGAGAUGAUGCCUCUUUUAAGGAGAUCUUUAGCCCCCUAAAGUAGUUCCUUGCACUCUGAAUGAGCCUCUCCCCCUUCUUAGAAUCAAAUAUAGAUAUUUGGUGCGUGAAUAAGUAAAUAUAUUUAUAUUUCCUUUCCCCUACAAGAGCCUUUCUCGGCUUGACUUUUUUUUUUUUUUUUUGAGAUGAGGUCUUGCUCUGUUGCCCAGGUUGGAGUGCAGUGGCAGGAUCACAGUUCAUUGCAGCCUCCAACUCCUGGGCUCAAGAGAUUUUCCCACCUCAGCCUCUCAAAUAGUUGGCACCACAGGUGUGCACCAUACCACCCAGCUAAUUUUUCUAAUUUUUGUAUAAAUGGGGGUUGCUAUGUUGCUGAGGUUGAUAUUGAGCUCCUGGGCUCACAUGAUCCUCCCACUUCAGCCUCCCGAAGUGCUGAAGUUAUAGGGUGUUUCCCCUGUGCACAGCCUUAUCCCAAAUUAAUUUCUCAAAUAGCCAGGCAUUGUGGCGGGCACCUGUAGUCCCAGCUACUUGGGAGGCUAAGGCAAGAGAAUCACUUAAGCCCAAGAGCUGGAGGUUGCUGUGAGUGUGAUGCCGUGACACUCUACCAAGGGUGACAAAGUGGGACUCUGUCUCUAAAAAAAAAAAAAAUAAUAAUUUCUCUUUCCUCUACACCUUCAAAAUCUGUGGGAAGUAGAAUUGGGGGCAAUAAGAGGACUGUUCGACUCAAACCCAAGCUGACUUAAUAGCUUCCACAGUUGGACUGUCCACCCUCAGUGGGUGCUGGUAACUUCCACUAUGUAGACAUCUUCUGGGCUCUGCCAGGUCCAAGAAGCCUCAGACAACCUCUCUGGAUCCUCAGUUUCCCUGUCAGUAAAGUAGUCUUAUUGGAUGGUAUGAGAAACAGAUGAACUAACCCUUGGGCAAGUGUUAAACAGAAGUUUAAGUAUUCAUUCAACAAACAUAGAGACUGUUGCUGUGGGCUGGGUGCUGAAUAUUUGGCAGGAACCAGUGAGACCUGGCCUGUCCUCGAGUCUGGUGAGGCAGUGAUUAAGGGGCAAACAAGUAAAGGUGUCAGCUGGUUUCAGGAGCUAUGUGGUAAAGCAAGGAUAUGAGCCAACUGGACUAGGUGGGGGCUAGGGCAGUGACAGUGGAGCCAAAGGAAGGCUUCAGGGAGGGCUUGAUAUGUACAGAAGCCCUGAGGUUGAGGCACUGCAAGGAGGUCCCUGUGUUGUGGGUGAACCUAGGUACUUUGCUGUAAUCUGCUUCCCUGCUCUGGAGUAGAGUAUUGGUGACUCCAGGCUCCCAGAGACCAAAUGUGUCUUAUUCAGCCUGUUUGCCAAGGUGGUGUGACUCACUUUCCAGUGCUCAGCUUAGUACUUAGGGCCCAUGGGAGGGUGAAACGAGACAUAGGUCUGCCUGUGAGGUCCAAUAAUAGGCCAAGGAGGAGCUAGGUCUUGCCCUGAGGGUGCUGGGGAACCAUGGCCAGGGCUGGGGCAGGGAAAGGAAUAGGCAGGUCUUUGGGCCUGAAGGAGAAGGCUGGGGGACUGUGGUCUAGAACUGAGAGGGAAGCUGGGUGACUCAGUUGGUGAAGGUCACACCCAGGUUCACUCCAACUGCACCCCUUGCCUCUGAGGUGGCUGGGUACAGCCCUUCCUCUCAGAGUCUCUGAUCCCUCAUCUAUAGAAUGGGAAUAGUGCUGGGCCUCAGUUGUGAUCUGUAUUCCUGAGUCCUGGCUUGCUCAGACAUCUUCUGAGGGCUCUCCUAGGAUAUGGCCUCUGUUAUCAGCCUUGUCCAGCUGCUGGGGUGGAGACACAGGCCCUGAGGCCCCAGGGAGGCUGUGAGUGAAUCAGGGGCAUGGACAGGGGUGCUCAGACCUGAAAGACAUUGGUGUAAUGUAACCAUGAGCAUCCCUUGAGUAGUCACUGGUUGCCACACUGAGUGCAGAAGACUUGACUUGCCAUGUGCUUUUCCCCAGCCCUUUUUGCAGCUGUGGGAAGUUGAGCUGUGACUUAUAGUGGAUGUCAAAAUAUUAGUACUUGCCUCCUGCAGUUAUGGUGCAGGUGACAGGUAAUGAGCCCAACCUAGAGGAAAUAUUCAAUCCAGGGACAUUACUGACAGUGAGAAUGGUGUGGCAUGGUUGAGGAGGUGAGUGAGUACCUCAUCACAGGAGGAAGCCAACCAGGUGGUAGAGGUGAAGGGACGAUAUCUGAGUGCCUCUCCCUGAUCUCCACUUUGCAGAGAAUGGGCUGCAGAUCACUGAAUGAAGUGCUAUAGCUGGAGUUCAGACUCAAGGCUGAGAUUCCAAGGCCUGCAGUCUGAAGAGGCGUCAGCCUCUGAGUUUCUUGGCAUGCCUUAGCCAGAGAAUUCUGAGUGCCUGUUGCUCUGCCUAUGUGUCUUCUGUUGAUGGCAACUUGGGCCCUUUAUCGCUGUCACCCAAGCUGGAGUGCAGUAGCAUCAUUGUAGCUCACUGCAACCUCAAACUCCUGGGCUUAAAUGAUCCUCCUACCUCAGCUUCCUGAGUACCUGGAACUACAGGUACCUGCCACCACAACUGGCUAACUUUUCUAUUUUUUUAUAGAAACAGGGUCUCAGUCUUACUCAGUCUGGUCUCAAACGCAUUGCUUCAGGGGAUCCUCUUUCCUUAGCAACUGAAGUGUUAGGGUUACAGGAAUGAUCUUCCACACCCAAGCCCUGUUUACUUUUUGACCAAGAUGUAACAGCUAUUCUAUAAAGUGCACAAACUUAGAGCUUGAUUCUUUUUUUUUUUUUUACAGGCAGACUACAACAAAUUAGUCACUUUUAUUUAACAGAAACAUACAAAUAAGUGUGCAAAAUUAGAGCUUGAUUCUUUACAUAUGUGUAAACCUGAGUGAGCACGGCCUCGCUCCUGAUUUUUUUUUUUUUUUUUUUGCAGUUUUGGCCGGGGCCAGGCUUGAACCUGUCACAGGCGCCACCCCCUCACUCCUGAUCUCAAUGGCAUCUUGCUUUGACUGUCCUAGGAUUUUAAGGCCCUUUCUGGUCUUUUGGGGGAGGGGUUUGGAUGUGUGCAUUUGGUUUUAAUUUGUGUCUUGGGGAGUGGGGACUCUAGGAAAGUUUAAGUGGGAAUUUAGAUUUUGGGAUUAGUCUUAGAAUCAUGGCAUUUCAUUGAGAAUUAAUUUGGUGGGUUUUUUGUUUGCUUGUUUUUUGUGUGUUUUGGGGUGUUUUUUUCUGUUGUUGUUGUUUUA